rnacentral:ncRNA from 2 species
CGAGCCAUGUGCGGGAGCUCGGAGGACCGGGCUGAGAGGGCGGCUGACGCGCCGCCGACCGCUGGAACCUGACCGGGUAAUGCCGGCGUAGGGAGCCCGUGAUGAGCACGU